ACCAUGUUGUUUGUGCAUUGAAUAUGACGUCAUAUAUGCAGUGCAGCUGCUGAAAUGUGUAGUAGGACUGCCAGCUGUCUGCUCUUUGUUUUAGGCUGUGCUGAGUAGCCGUGCAUGCAUGUGUGUGUGUGUGUGUGUGCGCGCGUGCGUGUGCAUAUGUGUGUGUCUGUGUGGAGUUUUAGCCUAUCAUCCUGUGCUUUGUGUGUUUGUGUGUGAGAGAGUGUGUGAGGGUGCGUGUGCGCAUGUGUGUGUCUAUGCGGAGGUUUAGGCUAUCAUCCUGUGCUUUGUGUUUGUGUGUGUAUGUGUGUGUGUGUGGGCGUGGGAACACACGUGUGUGUAUAAAGGCUCAGGCUAUCAUCCUGUGCUUUGUCUAUGUGUGUGCGUGUGUGUGUGUGUGUGUGCAUGCGCAAGUGUGUGUAUGUAGGCUCAGGCUAUCAUCCUGUGCUUUGUGUGUGUGUGUGUGUGUGCGUGUGUGUGUGUGUGUAUGUAGGCUCAGGCCAUCAUCCUGUGCUUUGUGUGUCAGUGGGGCAGCCUGGCAGACGGAAGCAGUCUGGCACAGGGCUGUCCAGCUUGCAGAUAAUCUUGUAUAUGGACUUCUUCCAGCAGGGGUCAGUGUCACGCCCUGCUUGGAUGGCAGUGAAGAACUCCCUCAGGGCCAGGUCAGAUAUCUCCACAAACCUGUCUGGGACCUGGAGGACAGAGAGCAAUAUAAAUGUGGGGCAACAAAGAAAUAGAGUACCGAUACGGCUGAAAUGGAUGAGCACAGUGGACAAUCGCACAGGCUGUUCCAAAGCUACCAAGGCUUUUCAGAAACAAUGAAGCCAAGGGAUGAGGCACUGGAUGCAAAUUCAAGUAUUAUCACAAUACAAUUUUUAGCGAAUACUUUCACAAAACAGUUAUGCUGCUUUCAAGCUAAUGCUUAACAACUCUCAGAAAUCAGAUUUGUAUUUUGUUGCAAAUAUACAGCUUCCAAAUGAAAUAAUACAUAAUUAUGAAAUUAUGAUUUUAAAGUGCAUACUAUCUCAGCCCAUUUUUUUCAAAUUUUUUGGAUCAAAAUAAUGAUACCAUUUCAACUUAGUUGACUUUGAGUCGACUGAGUUUAUCACAGAAGAUUAGUGACCUCUUCUUCCGGAAAAAAAUUCCAGACUUCCAAUAAAUGUCCACGCUAUAUGGGUAAUAUCGGUGCCUUCAAAUGCUCCUCAAACCAUUUAUAUCUAGAAAAACUCUGGCCGGGGGUAUCAUCACUCCAAAAGACACCUCAUUCUGGAGGGAAGAAGCACUUUAACAUGGGGUGAAAAUGAUCUUUUUUCCAAGCCAUGCCAGGAAAAUGCACCCCAAAGAACCAUCAGAAACCUUCACUGUUGGAACACUGCUGUGCUUAACGUUUGUACACUACACUACACUAUAAAUGCGUGCCUAUAAAUGCGUGCCUUAACAGACACACACACACAGACACACGCAGACACACACACUGAUGCACACACGCGCACACACGCUCACUGACGCACGUGGUAGUCGUUGCUCUUGUUGUAGUGCAGGUUGAGGAUGCGGUAGAGCUCAGAAUCUCGGCGUAGCCGCAGCGCCGCCUCGCCUCCGCCCAUGACCCCCUCCCUGACCGCCUGGCGUGCGAAGCGCUCCAUCUGGAUGUAGAAGAACUCUCUGAAGUUGCUGAACCACUUGAUGAGCUGAGAGGUGAUGCAGCGGUUGAACUGGAAGAGAGAACAAAGUAAAUACGACGUGUUGGAGCAAACUUCCCUAUUCGUAUGCUAAGAGAACUGCCACGGAAUUCCUGUCCAUUUGUCAGUUAUUUUGGGAAAUGGAAUGACCUAAAUUUCUCUAGAUUAAAGCCAUUUUCUCAUUUUAAAGCCUUUAAAGCAAUCUCAUUCCGAUGGAAGCCAGCUCGGAGGAAGACACAUAAAUACAGUUAAGAGGCCACUACAGUCUGCAUCACAUUAUGCAUUUGCAUUAACUCAAAGUCAUUUACAACAUUCACAUAAUCAGAAAUAACAGGUUUGACGAUGUUACUUACAAAUGUGACAAGUUAAAAAUGGCUCCUUUGUUUCUCAAGUAAGGAAGUGGUUAAAUACAUAUGCACCUGGACAAGGAAGUACUUUGUACAAUAUGCAUGAAGCCACAAACAUACCAGUAGGCCAUUCCAGCCAAGUGCCAAUCAGAAGGACCUGUAUAUGCUAUAUGUGAAUUUCUACAGUGUUUGUUUCCAUGGCUGCUUCUAUAUUCCGUCUCAGUGAAACACAGUUGUUGUAGUUUUAAAUAAUUAAUUAAAAUGUACACAUUCACCACACAAAGAUAAAGUAAUUACAUUUUUAAUGCCUGGAAUGAACCCAGUAAUAACUGUAGGCAGUUACAUUUACUACCAAUUCACCUCACGAUGAAUGCCAUAGAUGACUGCAAAAUGUAGGUAAUGAAUGAAGUUUAAUUAAUCCAGAGACCCCCAACACUGAGCACUGUACCAACAUGCAAGGUCUCACUUGAGCUGAAUUAUUAUUUAUUAGCAGUUUAUUUAUUUAGAGAGGCCCUUUGAUUUUAAUGACUUCUGAAGGAGAGGUGAUUUACAAUCAAGGUCGUUUUUCACGAGUGGGGAAAAGAAAAGAGGCGAUGUUCAGAAGGACAGGGUAC